rnacentral:rRNA from 1 species
CAUUCGCCUGUUUUACCAAAAAAUCGCCUCUUGCAAAACUAACAAAAUAAGAGGUCCCGCCUGCCCUGUGACGAUGAGUUUAACGGCCGCGGUAUCCUGACCGUGCGAAGGUAGCGCAAUCACUUGUCUUUUAAAUGGAGACCUGUAUGAAUGGCAUAACGAGGGCUUGGCUGUCUCCUCUCCCCAGUCAAUGAAAUUGAUCCUCCCGUGCAGAAGCGGGAAUACCUACAUAAGACGAGAAGACCCUAUGGAGCUUUAGACACCAAGGCAGACCACGUCAAAACCCCCUAAACAAGGAAUAAAACUAAAUGAACCCUGCCCUAAUGUCUUCGGUUGGGGCGACCGCGAGGCAACAAAAAACCCCCGCGUGGAACAAGGACACCCCCUCCCGCCUCCUCACAACCCAGAGCCUCCGCUCUCAUGAACAGAAUUUCUGACCUAUAAGAUCCGGCAAUGCCGAUUAACGGACCAAGUUACCCUAGGGAUAACAGCGCAAUCCCCUUUUAGAGCCCAUAUCGACAAGGGGGUUUACGACCUCGAUGUUGGAUCAAGGACAUCCUAAUGGUUCGCCUGUUACUCAGCCACAACCCCAAAACCUUCCCAAAA